rnacentral:rRNA from 1 species
GACGAACGCUGGCGGCGUGCCUAAUACAUGCAAGUCGAGCGGACUUGUAGGAGCUUGCUCCUGCAGGUUAGCGGCGGACGGGUGAGUAACACGUGGGCAACCUACCUGUAAGACUGGGAUAACUUCGGGAAACCGGAGCUAAUACCGGAUGACAUAAAGGAACUCCUGUUCCUUUAUUGAAAGAUGGCUUCGGCUAUCACUUACAGAUGGGCCCGCGGCGCAUUAGCUAGUUGGUGAGGUAACGGCUCACCAAGGCGACGAUGCGUAGCCGACCUGAGAGGGUGAUCGGCCACACUGGGACUGAGACACGGCCCAGACUCCUACGGGAGGCAGCAGUAGGGAAUCUUCCGCAAUGGACGAAAGUCUGACGGAGCAACGCCGCGUGAACGAUGAAUCCCUUCGGGGUGUAAAGUUCUUUUAUAUGUGAGCAGUGCUUCUUAUAUUAACAGUAUGGGGAGAGAGAUAUUAGCAUAUGAAUAAGCAACGGCUAACUCCG